ensembl:snRNA U6 U6 spliceosomal RNA
GUGCUCACUGAAGCAGUGCAUAUUCUAAUAUUGAACAAAAGAGAAAAGAUUAGCAUGACCCCUACUCAAUGAUGUCAUACAGAUUCAGGAAACAUUCCAUAUUUUA